rnacentral:rRNA from 1 species
UACGAAGGGAGCUAGCGUUGUUCGGAAUUACUGGGCGUAAAGCGUGCGCAGGCGGCUUCUCAAGUCAGGGGUGAAAGCCCAGAGCUCAACUCUGGAAUUGCCUUUGAGACUGAGUGGCUUGAGUACGAGAGAGGUGAGUGGAAUUCCCAGUGUAGAGGUGAAAUUCGUAGAUAUUCGCAAGAACACCAGUGGCGAAGGCGGCUCACUGGCCCGAUACUGACGCUGAGGCACGAAAGCGUGGGGAGCAAACAGG